rnacentral:lncRNA from 1 species
AGGGGGCUCCAGCUGAAGGAAGAGAGGGCACUGUGACUUCACUCCACUCCACUCCCACUCCCUUCUCCUGACCUUUGCCCAGAGCACCAGCCAAUUCUGGAUCCUUGAUGUGGAUUCUUCGCUAAGCAGGGGCCUCCUUUAACAGAAAAUGCUUUACAUAGGUCUCCUUGUGCCCUGAACUCCUCCCUCCGGUGCCUCAGGGCCCAGAUGACAGCCAUUUAGCUGUCCUGGGGCCUGGUCCAGCUGCGUGUAAUGUGAUGCUGCUCCUUGGAGGCCACCAACGGUCCCAGGCUUUCCCAGGCCAAACGUGGAGAGGAGAUACCACAUCAAGAGGUUGGAGGGGCUGGUGGACAAAGACCACGAGCACAGAAAUCAGGAACUGGAAAGACAAAUCAGCCAGCCUGACUCCAGAGGGACAGCUCCGCCGUCCCCAGAUGUCCCGGGUGUGCUGGUAACCGGCAGCAAGGAGAUUCCUGGAAGCAAGGCUCUGGGGACCAUGGCCUGGCCCUGCUGAGUGCAACCAUCCUGGGCCAAGCCACCAUCCCCUCCUGCCUGGAUGACAACAGCAGCUCUGGGACACCCCCUUGCAUCCAAGCUUGCCUCCUCCCCUUCACCAUUGCCCACGGAAAUGAAGCUGGAUUGGUCUUCCUAAAGCGAGAAUAAACUCAUCUGCCACAAACCCCUGAGGCCUCCAUUCUUCUCAGUGCAGAGUCUGAACUCCAUAGUGUGGCUACCAAGACCUUCUUACCUGGUCCUGACCACCUCUCCAGCGCAGCGGCGCCACUGUGACCUCACACAAGAUGCCCAGCCAGACAGAACUACCUGCUCCUGCCGCCGCUGCUGCUAC